rnacentral:lncRNA from 1 species
UUUUUUUGGUGAAUGACACAUAACACAGAACACCAGUCGUCGUCGAGCAAAGCCAGCUGGACGAUACCAUUUACGAUGCAAGCUCCGUAGACGAGCUUUCCGGAGCAGGAUCGUCGCCACGUUGUGUGACACCUGCAGUCACAGAACCAGAUAGGUCAAGGUACAGCGGGGAUACCGACCAAGAGGCAGCAUUUCAUACUAAAAGGC